rnacentral:rRNA from 1 species
UACGAAGGGGGCUAGCGUUGCUCGGAAUUACUGGGCGUAAAGGGCGCGUAGGCGGACAGUUUAGUCAGAGGUGAAAGCCCAGGGCUCAACCUUGGAAUUGCCUUUGAUACUGGCUGUCUUGAGUUCGGGAGAGGUGAGUGGAAUGCCGAGUGUAGAGGUGAAAUUCGUAGAUAUUCGGCGGAACACCAGUGGCGAAGGCGACUCACUGGCCCGAUACUGACGCUGAGGUGCGAAAGCGUGGGGAGCAAACAGGG